GUGGAUUAGAUACCCUAGUAGUCCAUGCCGUAAACGAUGUCUACUAGCCGUUGGGGCCUUUGAGGCUUUAGUGGCGCAGCUAACGCGAUAAGUAGACCGCCUGGGGAGUACGGUCGCAAGACUAAAACUCAAAUGAAUUGACGGGGGCCCGCACAAGCGGUGGAGCAUGUGGUUUAAUUCGAUGCAACGCGAAGAACCUUACCUGGCCUUGACAUACUAAGAACUUUCCAGAGAUGGAUUGGUGCCUUCGGGAACUUAGAUACAGGUGCUGCACGGUCGUCGACAACU
rnacentral:rRNA from 1 species